CCCAGCUCCCUCCACUUCCUGGGUGAAGAAUGUCCCAUCCUGCUGUUGCUCGCCCUCCAUCGGCUGCACCCACUGCCUAACGAGUCCCAAUGAGAAGAACUUGGUACCUCAGUUGGAAAUGCAGAAAUCACCCACUUUCUGCAUUGGUCUCCCUGAGAGCUGCAGACUGGAGCUUUCAUAUAGAGCCAUCUUG